rnacentral:rRNA from 2 species
AUAAGGUUAAGUGAAUAAGGGCGCACGGUGGAUGCCUUGGCACUAGGAGCCGAUGAAGGACGGGACUAACACCGAUAUGCUUUGGGGAGCUGUACGUAAGCUAUGAUCCAGAGAUUUCCGAAUGGGGAAACCCAACAUCUUUUAUAGGAUGUUACGUUUGCGUGAAUACAUAGCGCAUUCGAGGUAGACGCAGAGAACUGAAACAUCUAAGUACCUGCAGGAAGAGAAAGAAAAUUCGAUUCCCUGAGUAGCGGCGAGCGAAACGGGAAAAGCCCAAACCAAUGAGCUUGCUCAUUGGGGUUGUAGGACUCCAAUAUGGUAGUUCUUUCAGAUAAUCGAAUGACUUGGAAAAGUCAGUCAAAGAGGGUAAAAACCCCGUAGAUGAAAUUUGGAAGGCACCUAGGAGGAUCCUGAGUACGGCGGAACACGAGGAAUUCCGUCGGAAUCCGGGAGGACCAUCUCCCAAGGCUAAAUACUCCCUAGUGACCGAUAGUGAACCAGUACCGUGAGGGAAAGGUGAAAAGCACCCCGGAAGGGGAGUGAAAUAGAACCUGAAACCGUGUGCCUACAACAAGUCAAAGCCCGUUAAUGGGUGAUGGCGUGCCUUUUGUAGAAUGAACCGGCGAGUUACGAUUGCAUGCGAGGUUAAGUCGAAGAGACGGAGCCGUAGCGAAAGCGAGUCUGAAUAGGGCGUUUGAGUAUGUAGUCGUAGACCCGAAACCAUGUGAUCUACCCAUGUCCAGGUUGAAGGUGCGGUAAAACGCACUGGAGGACCGAACCCACGUACGUUGAAAAGUGCGGGGAUGAGGUGUGGGUAGCGGAGAAAUUCCAAACGAACUUGGAGAUAGCUGGUUCUCUCCGAAAUAGCUUUAGGGCUAGCCUCGGAUUUGAGAAUGAUGGAGGUAGAGCACUGUUUGGACUAGGGGCCCAUCUCGGGUUACCGAAUUCAGAUAAACUCCGAAUGCCAUUCAUUCAUAUCCGGGAGUCAGACUGUGAGUGAUAAGAUCCAUAGUCGAAAGGGAAACAGCCCAGACCACCAGCUAAGGUCCCAAAAUAUAUGUUAAGUGGAAAAGGAUGUGGGGUUGCACAGACAACUAGGAUGUUGGCUCAGAAGCAGCCACCAUUUAAAGAGUGCGUAAUAGCUCACUAGUCGAGUGACCCUGCGCCGAAAAUGUACCGGGGCUAAACAUAUUACCGAAGCUGUGGAGUACACCAUGAGGUGUAUUGGUAGGAGAGCGUUCUAAGGGCGUUGAAGGCAGAUCGUGAGGACUGCUGGAGCGCUUAGAAGUGAGAAUGCCGGUAUGAGUAGCGAAAGACAGGUGAGAAUCCUGUCCACCGAAUGACUAAGGUUUCCUGGGGAAGGCUCGUCCGCCCAGGGUUAGUCGGGACCUAAGCCGAGGCCGACAGGCGUAGGCGAUGGACAACAGGUUGAUAUUCCUGUACUCGUUGUUUUUGUUUGAGCAAUGGAGGGACGCAGGAGGCUAAGGAAUGCAGACGAUUGGAAAUGUCUGUCCAAGCAGUAAGUCUUGAUAGGAGUCAAAUGCUUCUGUCUACACGGAUAAGCUGUGAUGGGGAGGGAAAUAAUAGUACCGAAGUUCCUGAUGUCACACUGCCAAGAAAAGCUUCUAGUGAGAAAACAAUGACCCGUACCGCAAACCGACACAGGUAGUCGAGGAGAGAAUCCUAAGGUGAGCGAGAGAACUCUCGUUAAGGAACUCGGCAAAAUGACCCCGUAACUUCGGGAGAAGGGGUGCUGAUCUUUGAUCAGCCGCAGUGAAUAGGCCCAAGCGACUGUUUAUCAAAAACACAGGUCUCUGCAAAAUCGUAAGAUGAAGUAUAGGGGCUGACGCCUGCCCGGUGCUGGAAGGUUAAGAGGAGUGCUUAGCGUAAGCGAAGGUACGAAUUGAAGCCCCAGUAAACGGCGGCCGUAACUAUAACGGUCCUAAGGUAGCGAAAUUCCUUGUCGGGUAAGUUCCGACCCGCACGAAAGGCGUAACGAUUUGGGCACUGUCUCAACGAGAGACUCGGUGAAAUUUUAGUACCUGUGAAGAUGCAGGUUACCCGCGACAGGACGGAAAGACCCCAUGGAGCUUUACUGUAGUUUGAUAUUGAGUGUCUGUACCGCAUGUACAGGAUAGGUAGGAGCCGUAGAAAUCGGAACGCUAGUUUCGAUGGAGGCGCUGGUGGGAUACUACCCCUGCGUUAUGGCCACUCUAACCCGCACCACUGAUCGUGGUGGGAGACAGUGUCAGAUGGGCAGUUUGACUGGGGCGGUCGCCUCCUAAAAGGUAACGGAGGCGCCCAAAGGUUCCCUCAGAAUGGUUGGAAAUCAUUCGAAGAGUGUAAAGGCAGAAGGGAGCUUGACUGCGAGACCAACAAGUCGAGCAGGGACGAAAGUCGGGCUUAGUGAUCCGGUGGUUCCGCAUGGAAGGGCCAUCGCUCAACGGAUAAAAGCUACCCUGGGGAUAACAGGCUUAUCUCCCCCAAGAGUCCACAUCGACGGGGAGGUUUGGCACCUCGAUGUCGGCUCGUCGCAUCCUGGGGCUGUAGUCGGUCCCAAGGGUUGGGCUGUUCGCCCAUUAAAGCGGCACGCGAGCUGGGUUCAGAACGUCGUGAGACAGUUCGGUCCCUAUCCGUCGCGGGCGUUGGAAAUUUGAGAGGAGCUGUCCUUAGUACGAGAGGACCGGGAUGGACUUACCGCUGGUGUACCAGUUGUUCUGCCAAGGGCAUUGCUGGGUAGCUAUGUAGGGAAGGGAUAAACGCUGAAAGCAUCUAAGUGUGAAGCCCACCUCAAGAUGAGAUUUCCCAUUUCUUUAAGAAAGUAAGAUCCCUGAGAGAUGAUCAGGUAGAUAGGUCAGGAGUGGAAGGCCAGUGAUGGUUGGAGCGGACUGAUACUAAUCGAUCGAGGACUUAACCAAA